CUGCCCUCAAGCACGGCUUGUGUGUUGGGCCGCCGUCCCCCCUGCCCUUCUCUGGGCGGGGGGGGGACGGGCCCGAAAGGCAGCGGCGACAUCGCGUCCGGUCCUCGAGCGUUAUGGGGCUUUGUCACCCGCUCUGUAGGCCCGGCCGGUGUUGGCCGACGCUUCGCACCGAAGCAACCCAAUCUUCUAUUCAGG
rnacentral:misc_RNA from 1 species